rnacentral:rRNA from 1 species
GAUCCUGGCUCAGAGUGAACGCUGGCGGCGUGCCUAAUACAUGCAAGUCGAACGGAGAUUAAAUAGCUUGCUAUUUAAUCUUAGUGGCGCACGGGUGAGUAAUGUAUAGUUAAUCUGCCCCAUAGUGGAGGACAACAGUUAGAAAUGACUGCUAAUACUCCAUAUUCCUUCUUAUCAUAAGUUAAGUCGGGAAAGUUUUUCGCUAUGGGAUGAGACUAUAUCGU